rnacentral:rRNA from 1 species
ACGAACGCUGGCGGCGUGCCUAAUACAUGCAAGUUGAGCGCUGAAGGUUGGUACUUGUACCAACUGGAUGAGCAGCGAACGGGUGAGUAACGCGUGGGGAAUCUGCCUUUGAGCGGGGGACAACAUUUGGAAACGAAUGCUAAUACCGCAUAAAAACUUUAAACACAAGUUUUAAGUUUGAAAGAUGCAAUUGCAUCACUCAAAGAUGAUCCCGCGUUGUAUUAGCUAGUUGGUGAGGUAAAGGCUCACCAAGGCGAUGAUACAUAGCCGACCUGAGAGGGUGUUCGGCCACAUUGGGACUGAGACACGGCCCAAACUCCUACGGGAGGCAGCAGUAGGGAAUCUUCGGCAAUGGACGAAAGUCUGACCGAGCAACGCCGCGUGAGUGAAGAAGGGUUUCGGAUCGUAAAACUCUGUUGGUAGAGAAGAACGUUGGUGAGAGUGGAAAGCUCAUCAAGUGACGGUAACUACCCAGAAAGGGACGGCUAACUACGUG